rnacentral:rRNA from 1 species
AGAGCUUGCUCUUAUGAAGUUAGCGGCGGACGGGUGAGUAACACGUGGGUAACCUGCCCAUAAGACUGGGAUAACUCCGGGAAACCGGGGCUAAUACCGGAUAAUAUUUUGAACUGCAUGGUUCGAAAUUGAAAGGCGGCUUCGGCUGUCACUUAUGGAUGGACCCGCGUCGCAUUAGCUAGUUGGUGAGGUAACGGCUCACCAAGGCAACGAUGCGUAGCCGACCUGAGAGGGUGAUCGGCCACACUGGGACUGAGACACGGCCCAGACUCCUACGGGAGGCAGCAGUAGGGAAUCUUCCGCAAUGGACGAAAGUCUGACGGAGCAACGCCGCGUGAGUGAUGAAGGCUUUCGGGUCGUAAAACUCUGUUGUUAGGGAAGAACAAGUGCUAGUUGAAUAAGCUGGCACCUUGACGGUACCUAACCAGAAAGCCACGGCUAACUACGUGCCAGCAGCCGCGGUAAUACGUAGGUGGCAAGCGUUAUCCGGAAUUAUUGGGCGUAAAGCGCGCGCAGGUGGUUUCUUAAGUCUGAUGUGAAAGCCCACGGCUCAACCGUGGAGGGUCAUUGGAAACUGGGAGACUUGAGUGCAGAAGAGGAAAGUGGAAUUCCAUGUGUAGCGGUGAAAUGCGUAGAGAUAUGGAGGAACACCAGUGGCGAA